UAAGGAAUAUUGGUCAAUGGACGCAAGUCUGAACCAGCCAUGCCGCGUGGAGGAUGAAGGCCCUCUGGGUUGUAAACUUCUUUUAUAUGGGACGAAACCUAUCCUUUCUAGGGUAAUUGACGGUACCAUGUGAAUAAGCACCGGCUAACUCCGUGCCAGCAGCCGCGGUAAUACGGAGGGUGCAAGCGUUAUCCGGAUUCACUGGGUUUAAAGGGUGCGUAGGUGGGUUGGUAAGUCAGUGGUGAAAUCUCCGAGCUUAACUUGGAAACUGCCAUUGAUACUAUCAGUCUUGAAUACCGUGGAGGUCAGCGGAAUAUGUCAUGUAGCGGUGAAAUGCUUAGAUAUGACAUAGAACACCAAUUGCGAAGGCAGCUGGCUACACGAAUAUUGACACUGAGGCACGAAAGCGUGGGGAUCAAACA
rnacentral:rRNA from 1 species